rnacentral:rRNA from 1 species
UACUUAUAGUCAGAAUUAUAAAGCAUUGCCUGCUCUAUGAUAAAUUCAAUAGCGGCUUAAGUCCUAAGGUAGCAUAAUUAAUUGCCUUAUAAUUUAAGGAUAGUAUGAAAGGUGAUACGAAUAAGUUCAAGUCUCAAAUUUGAAAUUUAAAUUUUAUUUUUGUGUAAAAAAGCACAAAUAAGCUUUAGGGACAAGAAGACCCUAAAAAGCUUAAUUUUAAGAUCAAUUUGAAGUUUAUUAAGAAAUUAGAUUGGGGCAAUUCUAAAGUUAAGUCUUCGGUUAACAAACUAUUUAUUAUAUAAAUAAGAGCCAUUAAUAAUGACUAACUGUCUAAGUUACUUUAGGGAUAACAGCAUAAUAAAAAUCUUAGAGUUCUAAUCUUCGAUUCUGAUUAUGACCUCGAUGUUGGAUUAUAAAUCUCCGUGGUGAAGAAGCUACAAAUAGAAAGUCUGUUCGACUUAUAAUAAUAUACA